rnacentral:lncRNA from 1 species
UUCCUCCCUUGAUUCUACUCUCCUAAGAUUUAUCCAUGAUUCGAGGGCCGUUAGUAGCGUAUUUCUCGAACUAGGACGAUUUAGAUUUGACCUCUAUAUGAAUAUUCCAUGACUUUUGUGGAAUAUUCUAGAUAUUGAUCUUUAAAAUUACUCAAGAGUUUAUGGGAUAUUUUGAGAUGUCUUUUAAGGGAAUUUUGUACCCUUUAUAUAGGUGUGAAUUAGGAUUUAGGGUUGAGUAGCCUCCAAAAAUUCUAAUUGAAA